AUGACCAUUUCAGAGAGGACAAAUCUGUAGGAUUUGUUAGCCAGCUCUCCUCUUUGCCAUGAGCUAGUGAAUACAUGGUGUCAUUGAACUUGGAAUACUAGCUGGCUAUCAAAUGUGCUCCAGGAAUCUACCUGUCUCUAAUCUCCACCAGAGCCAGGAUGAGAGACAUGUGGAAGGCCCCUCUCCUACUGGAUGGCACCAUUACCCAUCAUUAUGAGUUAUCGUUCCCUAAUUAAGAUCACCAGAAAUGCCUUCACCGGCAGAUCCAGAGGUAUGCUUCAGUGAUCCAGUGCAUUCAUGCUUUGGUAAACAUAGAAUUCCGUUGCUCCCGCUAUCAACAUCGGACAUUGCUCUACUGUAAUCAAGGCAAAGGUGCAUGGUCCAAAUCAAG